AAACGGCUCCCUCCAGGGCAAGGCGGUGCCAGUGGGACUCCAUGGGGUCUUCCGAGACACCGCCGCGGGCCUGGCGGAGCGAGGGGCGCCUUGCGCAGCGGGGUAGGGGGUGGGGCGCUCGGGGUCUGGUGAAGUGGAGGGGAGAAGCGCCCUGUGCCCAGAGAUGGAGGGGGUGUCAAACGUGCCUGGCAGAGAAACAACUUCCUGCUCCCCGGGCCCAGGGCGCAGAAGCUGCGGGAGAAGUUACAGGCCGAAGCCUUGCUCUCCGAGCUUAGAACUGCGCUGCUGCCCGGGGUCCUUCCCGCCCCUGCAGGGGGUCGCUCCUGGCCGGGCUCCAGGGUCCAGGCAGGGUCAGAGUGCCUGCGAGGCCACAGCAGCUUUUGUUGCCGGCUCUGGGGGGGGGGGGCGCCUGAGGGUCCCCCCACCCCCAGAGGGGUCAGCUUGAGCUUAUGGCACUAGAAGAUUCUGACAGGGGUCACUGUGCUCAUAACCCCAUCUUCCUGCCAGGGCUGCCCGCUCAGAGCCAGGUGGGCCUGGCUGUCCUCAAGCACCCAUGUAGACUGCCCCGAAGAAGGGAGGCCUCCUGGGCCCCAUCCCAAUGGCUCUGCCUGUCCCCCCCCCGCCCCGACCGGCCUUGGCAUUCUCACUACAGUGUCCCCUUGACGUCACAUCUCGCCAUUUCUGUGAACCAAUGGAAACUUGCCUGCUGUCAUAAAUAUAUAUAUACUUUUUAUGCUA